GACGAACGCUGGCGGCGUGCCUAAUACAUGCAAGUAGAACGCUGAAGGAGGAGCUUGCUUCUCUGGAUGAGUUGCGAACGGGUGAGUAACGCGUAGGUAACCUGCCUGGUAGCGGGGGAUAACUAUUGGAAACGAUAGCUAAUACCGCAUAAGAGUAGAUGUUGCAUGACAUUUGCUUAAAAGUUGCAAUUGCAUCACUACCAGAUGGCCCUGCGUUGUAUUAGCUAGUUGGUGGGGUAACGGCUCACCAAGGCGACGAUACAUAGCCGACCUGAGAGGGUGAUCGGCCAAACUGGGAAGGGGACACGGCCCAGAAUUCUACGGGAGGCAGCAGGAGGGAAACUUCGGCAAUGGACGGAAGUCUGAACGAGCAACGCCGCGGGAGGGAAGGAGGUUGUCGGAUCGGAAAGGUCGGUUGUAAGAGAAGAACGAGUGUGAGAGUGGAAAGUUCACACUGUGACGGUAGCUUAACAGAAAGGGACGGCUAACUACGUG
rnacentral:rRNA from 1 species